ACAGAGGUCUCAAGCGUUGUUCGGAUUCAUUGGGCGUAAAGGGUGCGUAGGUGGCGCCGUAAGUCAGGUGUGAAAUCUCGGGGCUCAACCCCGAAACUGCACUUGAUACUGCGGUGCUUGAGUACUGGAGAGGAGAUUGGAAUUUACGGUGUAGCAGUGAAAUGCGUAGAUAUCGUAAGGAAGACCAGUGGCGAAGGCGAAUCUCUGGACAGUUACUGACACUGAGGCACGAAGGCCAGGGGAGCAAACGGGAUUAGAUACCCCGGUAGUCCUGGCAGUAAACGGUGCGCGUUUGGUGUGGGAGGAUUCGACCCCUUCUGUGCCGGAGCUAACGCGUUAAACGCGCCGCCUGGGGAGUACGGUCGCAAGAUUA
rnacentral:rRNA from 1 species